rnacentral:tRNA from 1 species
GCGCCAAUAGCUCAGUUGGUAGAGCUACAGCCUUUUAAGCUGCAGGUCCUGGGUUCGAGUCCCAGUUGGCGUA